UCCACGGGGGCUAUGGCGUUCACCAAGUCUUCAACUGCUACAGACAGCUCUUGGAGUUCGCCCCGAAGUCUUCCCAUGGUCUAGGCAUGAUCUCUACAUGCCACCAUGGCCAUGGCAAGCAUCACGCCAUUUUGCAUCUUUCAGUCCUGCUGAUGUUCGUAAGCAGCCUGUGCUUCCGUCAGCGCAGCCCAAAGACGUUCGGCUUCAUCCGCCACUCGGUCGUGCGUGUUUCUCCAGUCAAGAACUUGGCUCCUUGCAGCCGCCUCUUGUUUUUUGAGCUCUACAAGACAAAAAACUCAAACCACAGCCAACUACAGUUGUACACACCCAGAGUAGGUGAAAUGCUUACCUUGAUACUUCUUGUUUAGCGACUUGUAGAGGCUCUCCAGUUUUUGCUGCAGAACCGCGAGAUCCGUGCGUUCCACAGCAAAAGACUUCGCCCCUACUUCAUGAACCCUCAGAGCUUCUAUCAGUCGAGCACAUUCCUGCUCCAGUUGAUGACUUCGUU
rnacentral:lncRNA from 1 species